GAAGGGACAGACCACUAUUACAAAACAACAUCCCGGUCACUAUCAUUUUUUUAUUUUUUUUUACCCCUGAAGCGUGUAGAAGAGAAAGUGGCAAGCAGUGAGUCUAGAGAAGCUUCUUUAGUGACAAGAGACAAGGGGCAGAGGACGUCAGGUCAGGAAAUGACCUUUCAAAGUCCUGCGGCUAAAGAACACAAGUAGGAAAGAAAGAUUACAACUGUAUAAAAGAAGAGGACAUUAUUAGGAAAUAGGUACCUGUUUGAAAAUAAGUAUAUUGAGGAAACAGAGAACAGUGCAUCCGUUUUGGUUAAUAAGAGUGAAGGAAAGGAAAGAAAAAGACUGAAGACCCAGAAAGUGAUAGGGGACACGUAAGGUCAGAACUCAAGAAAGGUGCCCUCUCCUCUUUGCACCGUACACUGAGCUAAUGGCGCUGCCUCUCAAACGCUUCAAGGGAUCCAGUGAGGAGGUAAAGGCACUCUCAUCCUGGCUGGAGCUGAUGGUGUGGAGGAAGCCAGCGAUGGAUAUUGAUGGUGGUGUUGGUCAGGCGAAGAAGCUGAGGGCCCGACCAGCCUCCUCCCAUCCCAGGACUCUGGUGUGCCACGACAUGAAGGGUGGCUACCUGGAUGACAGGUUUGUGUCUGGCACCAAUAACAAGGAUGCCUACCGCUUCUACCACUGGUCUGGGGUGGACACGUUUGUUUACUUCAGUCACCACCUGGUCACCAUUCCUCCACUGGGGUGGAUCAAUGCCGCCCACCUGCAUGGAGUCACAGUCCUUGGGACUUUCAUCACCGAGUGGGAGGCAGGCAGUGCUGUGUGUAAGAAGCUCCUGGCCAGUGAGGAGACAGUGGCAUUGGCAGUGAGGCAGUUGGUGUGCAUUGCUAAUCACCAUGGCUUUGAGGGAUGGCUCAUCAAUAUUGAGAAUGAAGUGCCCAUAGAGAAGAUCCCACUCAUGCUGAAGUUUGUGGAGGAUCUGACAAAAGCCAUGAGGAAGAGAGAGACUGAUAAGGAAACAGAAAAUGCAGGGGAGGACAAAGUGAAAGAAGACAAUGACAAUUGCCAUCGUGUCAUCUGGUAUGACAGUGUGACAGAAAAUGGGGAAUUAAAAUGGCAGAACGCACUCAAUUCCCAGAACUAUGCCUUCUUUGACGCCUGUGACGGAAUCUUCCUCAACUACACCUGGACGGAGGAUCACCUGGACCACAGCAGGAAGGCAGCAGGUGGCAGGCAUAGGGAUGUCUUUGUGGGCCUUGACAUCUUUGGGAGGAACUUUUAUGCUGGGGGGAAAUAUGACACUUGGAAGGCUCUGGAGGUGGUGCGUAAGCAUGACCUCUCAGCUGCCAUCUUUGCUCCUGGGUGGACACAUGAGACACAGCCAGACUUCAUGGAGGCAGAGAGGCGUCUGUGGGGGUCUCUGGCACCCUUUCUUACCCACCGAGGAAUUCAGGACCUCCCAUUCACCACCUCCUUCUGUCAGGGAUCUGGGGAGUAUUUCUUCUGCAAGGGGAAGAUGGAGAGGGAAGGGCCUUGGCACAACCUGAGUCUCCAACACCUGCAGCCUCUCUGGUCCCAGGCUUAUGGUGUGUGACCUUGAGUGGACAAGACCACUGAGAGUAACUGUGGCCUACAAGUGGAGCAGCCAGCCCACCGCCCUCACCUUCCUGUGUCACCUCUCACCGAGCAGCUCGUCCCUCAAACAGAAGAUUUUAGAGUUCAUAUGUGAAAAGGAUAAAGAAGACAAGACGGAUGGAGAUGCAUGUGUAGGUGAAGAAGUUAUUGAGUGCCCCCUAGAGGUCAGCCAUGUGGAAAAUGGAUGGAACAUCAGAUUCACAGCCUGUGAGGUGCCAGGACACAGGAUGACUCUCAUGACACUCAGGCUGGGAGGUGCUGCUGAGCUACGGCUGGGACACUUGGACAUGAUGUUGGAGGCAGAGGCAGUGUAGCCUCCAGGGCUGUACUGUCUGCCAGCAAUCCACCCGUCUCAGUCUUUGCCAUGUGCUUUGUCUCCUGUGUUGGUGUGACUGGCAUUACUACUUGUGUGUUCUUUCCCUGCUUUUCCUGUGCCUGCUACGAUAUGAGGAUGGAAGCCGACAGUCCCUGGCAAGAGGAUGAAGGACUCCAUCACUGUUGCAGUGAAAGUGGUUGGAAGACAUGAGGGUGGCAUACUAGUGAUUGAUCUUGUAAGAAUAUUUGGCCUGUCAACCUUCCUUCUUUGUUACUUAUUGUUUCAUUAAUAUUUUAAUAUAUAAUGCAUCUAGCAGUGUCACUUGCAAGGAAUAAUUCCUCUUUUGUGCUGAAAAUUACUGGGAUUGCAAGUGUUAUGCACAUUACAAUUUACUUGAUUUUCCUUUAUUUUUUAUAAUUUUUUUUCUGAAUGUGAACUUUCAGAAAAUGAAUUGCCUGCUUGAACUAGUUGAAUUUGUACUCAGAGUUUCUACUGUAUGUUGUGUGAAAUAUGCCUAUGUUAUAUACACUGUGGCUAGGUUGGAGAAACACUGCCACUGCCACUGUACAUCCCUUCCGUGACUGGAAGGGACAGAAAGGACUGGGAACCCUCUUCUGUUUUGUUAUCCCCACAGUCAGACAAGGAGCUGUGAACACCUUGCCUCAUCUAGUCCCCUUGUUAGAGAUGUCAGGGAGAUAAACUAAUUGUUAUUGUUAUUGUUAGUAAAUUUGUUAUACAAUUAUAUUACAUGACUACUGGUUUCCUUCCAGGUACAGUUGCUCUCAGACUGUAAGAAAAAUGUACAAAAUAGUAAACUAUAAGUGUACUUUUAUUAAAGCACUUUCAAGCAAAUAGUUGUA